rnacentral:rRNA from 1 species
UACGAAGGGUGCAAGCGUUACUCGGAAUUACUGGGCGUAAAGCGUGCGUAGGCGGUUUGUUAAGUCCGCUGUGAAAGCCCUGGGCUCAACCUGGGAAUUGCAGUGGAUACUGGCAAGCUAGAGUGCGGUAGAGGAUGGUGGAAUUCCCGGUGUAGCGGUGAAAUGCGUAGAGAUCGGGAGGAACAUCGGUGGCGAAGGCGCUCUACUGGACCACAACUGACACUCAGGGACGAAAGCUAGGGGAGCGAAUGGG